rnacentral:rRNA from 1 species
UGGGGAAUUUUGGACAAUGGGCGAAAGCCUGAUCCAGCAAUGCCGCGUGUGUGAAGAAGGCCUUCGGGUUGUAAAGCACUUUUGUCCGGAAAGAAAUCCUUGGCUCUAAUACAGUCGGGGGAUGACGGUACCGGAAGAAUAAGCACCGGCUAACUACGUGCCAGCAGCCGCGGUAAUACGUAGGGUGCAAGCGUUAAUCGGAAUUACUGGGCGUAAAGCGUGCGCAGGCGGUUUGCUAAGACCGAUGUGAAAUCCCGGGCUCAACCUGGGAACUGCAUUGGUGACUGGCAGGCUAGAGUAUGGCAGAGGGGGGUAGAAUUCCACGUGUAGCAGUGAAAUGCGUAGAGAUGUGGAGGAAUACCGAUGGCGAAGGCAGCCCCCUGGGCCAAUACUGACGCUCAUGCACGAAAGCGUGGGGAGCAAACAGGAUUAGAUACCCUGGUAGUCCACGCCCUAAACGAUGUCAACUAGUUGUUGGGGAUUCAUUUCCUUAGUAACGUAGCUAACGCGUGAAGUUGACCGCCUGGGGAGUACGGUCGCAAGAUUAAAACUCAAAUGAAUUGACGGGGUC